GAUUUCAUGAUUCUUCCCAGAAACUCAAUCGGAAGCUUUGACACCAUGUCCUGCCUUCGUACCAUCUUCGUCUUCGCUCUCAUCUUUGGUACCGUGGCUCUUCUGGCUGAAGCUGCGCCAGAGCCUCUGCCGGGACCAGAAGGGGGAGCCUUGCGCAUGCGCCGCGGUGGGGAGUGCACAAUCGACGCGUGC